rnacentral:rRNA from 1 species
CGGAUUGGAGUCUGCAACUCGACUCCAUGAAGCUGGAUUCGCUAGUAAUCGCGCAUCAGCCAUGGCGCGGUGAAUACGUUCCCGGGCCUUGUACACACCGCCCGUCAAGCCAUGGAAGCCGGGGGUGCCUGAAGUGCGUGACCGCAAGGAGCGCCCUAAGGUAAAACCGGUGACUGGGGCUAAGUCGUAACAAGGUAGC